rnacentral:rRNA from 1 species
GACGAACGCUGGAGGCGUGCUUAACACAUGCAAGUCGAACGAUGAAAUGGAGCUUGCUCCAUGGAUUAGUGGCGAACGGGUGAGUAACACGUGAAUAACCUGCCCUUAAUUUUGGAAUAACCCAGGGAAACCUGGGCUAAUACCGGAUAAGUAAACCUGUGGCAUCAAAUGGUUUUGGAAAGUUUUUCGAUUAAGGAUGGAUUCGCGGCCUAUCAGCUUGUUGGUGAGGUAAUGGCUCACCAAGGCGACGACGGGUAGCCGGCCUGAGAGGGUGAACGGCCACACUGGGACUGAGACACGGCCCGGACUCCUACGGGAGGCAGCAGUGGGGAAUAUUGCGCAAUGGACGAAAGUCUGACGCAGCGACGCCUCGUGAGGGACGAAGGUCUUCGGAUUGUAAACCUCUUUCAGCAGGGACGAAGCGAAAGUGACGGUACCUGCAGAAGAAGCACCGGCUAACUAUGUGCCAGCCGCCGCGGUAA